AACGAACGCUGGCGGCAUGCCUAACACAUGCAAGUCGAACGAGACCUUCUGGUUUAGUGUCUCGCGUGUGCGUACUGCGUUGGAACACGGCUUUAUGUUCGGUAUAUCUUCCCGACACGGGUGCUAAUACCGGAUAGUGUCUUGGGUCUAAUGAUUUAUCGCCUUUGGAUGGGCUCGCGUUGGUUUAGCUCGUUGGUAGGGUAAAAGCCUACCAAGGCGACGCUCCAUAGCUGGUCUGAGAGGAUGAUCAGCCACACUGGGACUGAGACACGGCCCAGACUCCUACGGGAGGAAGCAGUGGGGAAUAUUGGACAAUGGGCGAAAGCCUGAUCCAGCAAUGCCGCGUGAGUGAUGAAGGCCUUAGGGUUGUAAAGCUCUUUUACCCGGGAUGAUAAUGACAGUACCGGGAGAAUAAGCUCCGGCUAACUCCGUG
rnacentral:rRNA from 1 species